rnacentral:sRNA from 1 species
GGUGUUUCUUUAUCUCUACGUAUGUUUCUCUUGCACCAAAUUGUGUGACACUGUGGCUUGGAAUAUAUAUCGCGCAAUAAAACCUUCCAUACGCUCCUGCCAUGGGCUAUAUAUGCUUGUGAUUAGAGAUGUCCAGUUCGUCGAGUAGUUUGCUUUGUAGAUAUUUAUAGUUAGAGCCUCCCAUACUUCAGCUGCAUAGCUACAAUAGAAGAAUAAAUGAUCCUCUGAUUCAAUGCAGUUGCUGUAGAGAAAGAAGUUUGUCAUUGAGAGUCUGUUCUGGAUCGCCAACCAUGUGCAAAAAGAAUACUUUGGUGUUGUGUGAGUAAACCAUACCUCUUUAUGCCAAACUACCUUAUUUGUAUCGGUACGAGUGUGAUUCCAAGUGUCUUUGGUUCUAAAGAUUGAUUGAUACACAUCGUUUUUCCUUUCCAUAAUACCACAUCCUCUUCAUCGGUUUGAUUUUGUCUCUUCAUGGUGAGAUCUGUUUCAAUUUGUUUUAGGGUUGCAGUUAUGUCCAUGCUUCCGCCAUCGACAUUUGCUUUAAGAUGUCAAACUCAAUUCGUCCCCUCUCUCCUAUGAUAUCCAUCAAACAGCCCAUUGUAAACCAGUUAUCAUACCAGAAUGAAACUUUUUUCCAGUUGUUUACCUCAACUUUGCAAAAUUGUUUGGCCACUCCUUUGUAUUUGAGUAAUUUCUUCCACAUCUAAGAGCCCAAAGUAGUAUUUUCUUUUAUUUACCAAAUAGUGACUCUUUUGAGUAGGUGUGCCUUGAUCUAUUUAAUCCAUAAGGAGUUUUUGUGGGAGACAAGUCCCCAAAUUUAUUUCAAACAACAUACCUCAUUAACUUCUUUUAGUGAUCUCAAG